UUUCCGUAGGUGAACCUGCGGAAGGAUCAUUACUGAGUGAGGGCCCCUCGGGGUCCGACCUCCCACCCGUGUUUAACGAACCUUGUUGCUUCGGCGGGCCCGCCUCACGGCCGCCGGGGGGCAUUUGCCCCCGGGCCCGCGCCCGCCGAAGCCACCUGUGAACGCUGUCUGAAGUAUGCAGUCUGAGACAAUUAUUAAAUUAAUUAAAACUUUCAACAACGGAUCUCUUGGUUCCG
rnacentral:misc_RNA from 1 species